rnacentral:tRNA from 1 species
GGUUCAGUGGUGUAGCGGUUUAUCACACUUCGCUCACAUACCGAAGAGGUCCCGAGUUCGAACCUCGGCUGAAUCA